rnacentral:rRNA from 1 species
CCUACGGGAGGCUGCAGUGAGGAAUAUUGGUCAAUGGACGCAAGCCUGAACCAGCCAUGCCGCGUGCAGGAAGACGGCUCUAUGAGUUGUAAACUUCUUUUGUAAGAGGGUAAAGUGAGAUACGCGUGUCUGUCUGAAAGUAUCGUACGAAUAAGGAUCGGCUAACUCCGUGCCAGCAGCCGCGGUAAUACGGAGGAUCCAAGCGUUAUCCGGAUUUAUUGGGUUUAAAGGGUGCGUAGUCGGUUGGAUAAGUUAGAGGUGAAAUCCCGCGGCUCAACUUCGGAAUUGCAUUUGAUACUGUCCGCCGUGAGUGUAGUUGAGGUAGGCGGAAUGUAUGGUGUAGCGGUGAAAUGCUUAGAGAUCACGCAGAACACCGAUUGCGAAGGCAGCUUACUAAGCUACUACUGACGUUGAGGCACGAAAGCGUGGGGAGCAAACAGGAUUAGAUACCCCAGUAGUC